GAUGAACGCUCGCUACAGGCUUAACACAUGCAAGUCGAGGGGAAACGACAUCGAAAGCUUGCUUUUGAUGGGCGUCGACCGGCGCACGGGUGAGUAACGCGUAUCCAACCUGCCCAUCACUUGGGAAUAACCUUGCGAAAGUAAGACUAAUACCCAAUGAUAUCCCACGAAGGCAUCGGAAUGGGAUUAAAGAUUUAUCGGUGAUGGAUGGGGAUGUGUCUGAUUAGCUUGUUGGCGGGGUAACGGCCCACCAAGGCAACGAUCAGUAGGGGUUCUGAGAGGAAGGUCCCCCACAUUGGAACUGAGACACGGUCCAAACUCCUACGGGAGGCAGCAGUGAGGAAUAUUGGUCAAUGGGCGAGAGCCUGAACCAGCCAAGUAGCGUGCAGGAAGACGGCCCUAUGGGUUGUAAACUGCUUUUAUAAGGGAAUAAAGUGGGUCACGUGUGACUUUUUGCAUGUACCUUAUGAAUAAGGACCGGCUAAUUCCGUG
rnacentral:rRNA from 1 species